UACGAAGGGGGCUAGCGUUGUUCGGAAUCACUGGGCGUAAAGGGCGCGUAGGCGGCUUUAUAAGUCGGGGGUGAAAGCCUGUGGCUCAACCACAGAAUUGCCUUCGAUACUGUAGAACUUGAGACCGGAAGAGGUAAGUGGAACUGCGAGUGUAGAGGUGAAAUUCGUAGAUAUUCGCAAGAACACCAGUGGCGAAGGCGGCUUACUGGGCCGGUUCUGACGCUGAGGCGCGAAAGCGUGGGGAGCAAACAGG
rnacentral:rRNA from 1 species